AUGCUUGCUUCAGUAGCACAUUUACUAGAAUCAGAAUAAUAAAGAAAAGUUAGGAUGCCCCUGCACAAGGAUGACAUGCAAAUUCAGGAAGUGUUCCAUAUUUGC
ensembl:snRNA U6 U6 spliceosomal RNA